UCGAUGAUGAGAUAGUAUCUUCUCUUUGC
rnacentral:piRNA from 1 species